AGAGUUUGAUCCUGGCUCAGAUUGAACGCUGGCGGCAGGCCUGACACAUGCAAGUCGAGCGGAUGAGUGGAGCUUGCUCCAUGAUUCAGCGGCGGACGGGUGAGUAAUGCCUAGGAAUCUGCCUGGUAGUGGGGGACAACGUUUCGAAGGGAACGCUAAUACCGCAUACGUCCUACGGGAGAAAGCAGGGGACCUUCGGGCCUUGCGCCAUCAGAUGAGCCUAGGUCGGAUUAGCUAGUAGGUGAGGUAAUGGCUCACCUAGGCGACGAUCCGUAACUGGUCUGAGAGGAUGAUCAGUCACACUGGAACUGAGACACGGUCCAGACUCCUACGGGAGGCAGCA
rnacentral:rRNA from 1 species